GACGAACGCUGGCGGCGUGCCUAAUACAUGCAAGUAGAACGCUGAAGGAGGAGCUUGCUUCUCCGGAUGAGUUGCGAACGGGUGAGUAACGCGUAGGUAACCUGCCUGGUAGCGGGGGAUAACUAUUGGAAACGAUAGCUAAUACCGCAUAAGAGUAGAUGUUGCAUGACAUAUGCUUAAAAGGUGCAAUUGCAUCACUACCAGAUGGACCUGCGUUGUAUUAGCUAGUUGGUGGGGUAACGGCUCACCAAGGCGACGAUACAUAGCCGACCUGAGAGGGUGAUCGGCCACACUGGGACUGAGACACGGCCCAGACUCCUACGGGAGGCAGCAGUAGGGAAUCUUCGGCAAUGGACGGAAGUCUGACCGAGCAACGCCGCGUGAGUGAAGAAGGUUUUCGGAUCGUAAAGCUCUGUUGUAAGAGAAGAACGAGUGUGAGAGUGGAAAGUUCACACUGUGACGGUAUCUACCAGAA
rnacentral:rRNA from 1 species